rfam:Francisella sp. CA97-1460, complete genome.
AAACUGAAGAGUUUGAUCCUGGCUCAGAUUGAACGCUGGUGGCAUGCUUAACACAUGCAAGUCGAACGGUAACAGGACUAGCUUGCUAGUUGCUGACGAGUGGCGGACGGGUGAGUAACGCGUAGGAAUCUACCUAUGGGAGGGGGAUACCAACUGGAAACGGUUGUUAAUACCGCAUAAUACCUAAGGGUUAAAGGUGGCUUUCGGGCUGCCGCUCAUGGAUGAGCCUGCGUUGGAUUAGCUAGUUGGCGGGGUAAGGGCCCACCAAGGCUACGAUCCAUAGCUGAUUUGAGAGGAUGAUCAGCCACAUUGGGACUGAGACACGGCCCAAACUCCUACGGGAGGCAGCAGUGGGGAAUAUUGGACAAUGGGGGAAACCCUGAUCCAGCAAUGCCAUGUGUGUGAAGAAGGCUCUAGGGUUGUAAAGCACUUUAGUUGGGGAGGAAGGUCAAUAUGUUAAUAGCAUUUUGAAUUGACGUUACCCAAAGAAUAAGCACCGGCUAACUCCGUGCCAGCAGCCGCGGUAAUACGGGGGGUGCAAGCGUUAAUCGGAAUUACUGGGCGUAAAGGGUCUGUAGGUGGUAUGUUAAGUCAGAUGUGAAAGCCCAGGGCUCAACCUUGGAACUGCAUUUGAUACUGGCAAACUAGAGUACGGUAGAGGAAUGGGGAAUUUCUGGUGUAGCGGUGAAAUGCGUAGAGAUCAGAAGGAACACCAAUGGCGAAGGCAACAUUCUGGACCGAUACUGACACUGAGGGACGAAAGCGUGGGGAUCAAACAGGAUUAGAUACCCUGGUAGUCCACGCUGUAAACGAUGAGUACUAGCUGUUGGGUUCGGUGUAAAGGGCCUAGUGGCGCAGCUAACGCGUUAAGUACUCCGCCUGGGGACUACGGCCGCAAGGCUAAAACUCAAAGGAAUUGACGGGGACCCGCACAAGCGGUGGAGCAUGUGGUUUAAUUCGAUGCAACGCGAAGAACCUUACCUGGUCUUGACAUCCUGCGAACUUUCUAGAGAUAGAUUGGUGCCUUCGGGAACGCAGUGACAGGUGCUGCACGGCUGUCGUCAGCUCGUGUUGUGAAAUGUUGGGUUAAGUCCCGCAACGAGCGCAACCCCUAUUGAUAGUUACCAUCAUUAAGUUGGGUACUCUAUUGAGACUGCCGCUGACAAGGCGGAGGAAGGUGGGGACGACGUCAAGUCAUCAUGGCCCUUACGACCAGGGCUACACACGUGCUACAAUGGGUAUUACAGAGGGCUGCGAAGGGGCGACCUGGAGCGAAACUCACAAAGGUACUCUUAGUCCGGAUUGCAGUCUGCAACUCGACUGCAUGAAGUCGGAAUCGCUAGUAAUCGCGAAUCAGAAUGUCGCGGUGAAUACGUUCCCGGGUCUUGUACACACCGCCCGUCACACCAUGGGAGUGGGUUGCACCAGAAGUAGUUAGGCUAACCGCAAGGAGGCCGAUUACCACGGUGUGAUUCAUGACUGGGGUGAAGUCGUAACAAGGUAGCCGUAGGGGAACCUGCGGCUGGAUCACCUCCUUA